CCUACGGGUGGCUGCAGUCGAGAAUCUUCGGCAAUGGGCGCAAGCCUGACCGAGCGAUGCCGCGUGUGGGAUGAAGGCCUUCGGGUUGUAAACCACUGUCGAGGGGGAUUAAGGGAAACUUGAAUGAACCCUGGAGGAAGGACGGGCUAAGUUCGUGCCAGCAGCCGCGGUAAGACGAACCGUCCGAACGUUAUUCGGAAUCACUGGGCUUACAGAGUUCGUAGGCGGUCCGGCAAGUUGGGUGUGAAAUCCCUUGGCUCAACCAAGGAACUGCGCUUGAUACUGCCGGACUCGAGGGAGAUAGAGGAAAGCGGAACUGAUGGUGGAGCGGUGAAAUGCGUUGAUAUUAUCAGGAACACCGGUGGCGAAGGCGGCUUUCUGGGUCUCUUCUGACGCUGAGGAACGAAAGCUAGGGGAGCGAACGGGAUUAGAUACCCCAG
rnacentral:rRNA from 1 species